rnacentral:lncRNA from 1 species
AUGGAAGACCCCUCUCUUUCCCUCUCCCUCUCUUUGUGUAACCCUGCCUUUCAAAUGAAUCAAAUUUUUUUAUUUUUUAAAAAAAGAUAUAUUUAUGUAGGCUCAAGUCAGUGGGGUCCACAGGCUCUUCCCUCCACUAGAAUCUCUGGAUCACACGGGAACGCAGGGGCCCCCGGGCAAUGCCGCCGGCGAGAAGAUGGCGUCCUGGCUCAGCCAGUUGCUGCGCCUGCGCAGAGACGUCCGCAGCCGCGCCAGAGCCCAAAAUGGUGCCCGCCUUUCCUCAGCCGGGCAGCGGACGCCCUAGUGGGGAGGACGGCUGAGGUCCACUGGGUCUGCCAGGGCCAGCCCCCGGGGCUCCAGCCCGGACUCCCGCCCUGCGCUCUCGCAGUCCGCUCUCACCUGGUCUCCACGUCGCCGCCCGCUCCGGCUCCUUCCUGGCCUACUCCGCCAUCUUGGAGUCUCCGGACUGCCUUCUGUGACGGCCUGGGAGAGACAACCACGUCACAGCCGCUGUGUUCUGUUUAUCAAGUCAGUGACACAGAUUUCCCAGGCUUCCAGGUGGGAAAGGAGGGUAUCACUGUCAGAUCGUCAGUAGACUAUGUGGAAGGAGAUGCGCGCGCUCCCUGGGCCAGACCGCCUGCCAUGGCUUCCUCCUGCAGCCGCGCUCUCAGAUCUGCAAUGGAAGUACACACGGAACAGCACCCCUUCCCGCGGCUGCCGACGCUCAGGACCAGGAAUCUGCGGUGUCGAGGGUUAUUGAAAUGGAUAUAUCCUGGAGUUCAUACCAAAGAUGGGGAAGAAGAGUGUGGAUUAAAGUGCAGCGUUGCCCCUGGCCCUGCUUUGAACUCUCACUGGCUUUUUUGGAACUUCACCAAGAUCAAACAGGCAGUUGCAGCCAGCUCCAGGCCUCUGGUUCUCUGUAUAAAUUUAGAAGUAGAUUUUGAGGUUAAGAUUAUGAAGUUUUGUAGUAACUUUAAACUGGAAAGUAUUGCAUUCACCUUUUAUACUCCCCAAAGUAAAAAGAAAUGCCCAGCCGUGUAA